ensembl:misc_RNA Y_RNA Y RNA
GGCUGGUCAGAAGUUAGUGAGUUAUCUCAAUUGAUUGUUCACAGAUCAGUUACAGAUUGAACUCCUUAUUCUAUUCCUUCUCCUUUUCUCACUACUGUAUUUGACUAGUCUUUC